GGCUGCAGUCGAGAAUCUUCGGCAAUGGGCGCAAGCCUGACCGAGCGACGCCGCGUGGAGGAUGAAGGCCUUCGGGUUGUAAACUCCUGUCGAGGGGGAGGAAGGGGAAACCUUGACCGAUCCCUGGAGGAAGCACGGGCUAAGUUCGUGCCAGCAGCCGCGGUAAGACGAACCGUGCGAACGUUAUUCGGAAUCACUGGGCUUAAAGCGCGUGUAGGCGGAUGGGAACGUCGGAUACUGAAAGCCCCCGGCUCAACCGGGGAAGUGGUUCCGAAACGACCUGUCUGGAGGGACGUAGGGGGAUCUGGAACUUCCGGUGGAGCGGUGAAAUGCGUUGAGAUCGGAAGGAACGCCCGUGGCGAAAGCGAGGUCCUGGACGUCUGCUGACGCUGAGACGCGAAAGCUAGGGGAGCAAACGGGAUUAGAUACCCCGGUAGUCCUAGCCGUAAACGAUGGGCACUGGGUAGGGGGCUCGCCGAUGGGCUCUCUGCCGUAGCGAAAGCGUGAAGUGCCCCGCCUGGGGAGUAUGGUCGCAAGGCUGAAACUCAAAGGAAUUGACGGGGGCUCACACA
rnacentral:rRNA from 1 species